UACGUAGGGUGCAAGCGUUGUCCGGAAUCAUUGGGCGUAAAGAGCGUGUAGGCGGCCCGAUAAGUCCGCUGUGAAAGUCCAGGGCUCAACCCUGGAAUGCCGGUGGAUACUGUCGGGCUAGAGUCCGGAAGGGGCGAGUGGAAUUCCUGGUGUAGCGGUGAAAUGCGCAGAUAUCGGGAGGAACACCCGUAGCGAAGGCGGCACUCUGGGCCGGAACUGACGCUGAGGAGCGAAAGCGUGGGGAGCAAACAGG
rnacentral:rRNA from 1 species